rnacentral:rRNA from 1 species
UACGUAGGGUGCGAGCGCUGUCCGGAAUUAUUGGGCGUAAAGGGCUCGUAGGCGGUUUGUCGCGUCGGGAGUGAAAACCUCGGGCUUAACUCGGGGCUUGCUUUCGAUACGGGCAGACUAGAGUGCGGUAGGGGAGACUGGAAUUCCUGGUGUAGCGGUGGAAUGCGCAGAUAUCAGGAGGAACACCAAUGGCGAAGGCAGCUCGCUGGGACGGUACUGACGCUGAGGCGCGAAAGCGUGGGGAGCAAACAGG